rnacentral:tRNA from 1 species
CAGAAAAUAGUUUAAUUAAAAUUUUAGUAUUGGAAGCUAAAAAUCUGAGUUCUCAGUUUUCUGA